rnacentral:rRNA from 1 species
AUACGUAGGGAGCGAGCGUUGUCCGGAAUCAUUGGGCGUAAAGAGCAUGUAGGUGGAUCAAUAAGUCUGCUGUGAAAGUCGAAGGCUCAACCUUCGAAUGCCGGUGGAUACUGUUGUUCUAGAGUACGGAAGAGGCGAGUGGAAUUCCUGGUGUAGCGGUGGAAUGCGCAGAUAUCAGGAGGAACACCAAUAGCGAAGGCAGCUCGCUGGGACGUUACUGACACUGAGAUGCGAAAGCGUGGGGAGCAAACAGGAUUAGAUACCCUGGUAGUCCACGCCGUAAACGAUGGGUACUAGAUGUGGGAGGUGUCGACUCCUUCCGUAUCGUAGCUAACGCACUAAGUACCCCGCCUGGGGAGUACGGCCGCAAGGCUAAA